ensembl:lncRNA
GUACACCUAGGGGAUCUGAAAGAUUUUCAAAUGUUGCUCUCCCUGUGGGAAACAGUGUGAGGAAAGGAAAUAAGUCCUAACCUACCCUGGAGAAGCCUGUACAGAGGAGAGAAUAUUUGCAACUUUGACAGCUUGAUUCUUAAGGUAAGCAUGCAUUUAAUAGUAUGUGUAUUCGAUAUAUAUUUGCUCUUGAUAUUAUUAGUCAGG